rnacentral:RNase_P_RNA from 2 species
CUGGAACAGUGGGUGGUUGCUAUGAACCAAUAUGGUUAGACCUUUCUUGCUAUAUUGCUAGUAGAGGAAAGUCCGGACUUCACUGAAAGACAACGGCGGAUAACGUCCGCGAAGGAAACUUACGGUUAGGGCCACAGAAAAUAUACCGCUUUUUAGCAAGGGUGAAAAGGUGUGGUAAGAGCGCACCGGGUCUGUGGUAACACAGAUUGCAUGGUAACCCCCGUUGGAAGCAAGCCUAAAUUUGAUAUCAUAGCUCUUUCAGGCUUAUCAGGGUAAGGCGCUUGAGGGUCAUAAUAAUAUGAUUCCCAGAUGAAUAACCACUUAAACAGAAUCCGGCUUAUAGCUGUUCCUGUUAU